AGUGAACGCUGGCGGUAGGCCUAACACAUGCAAGUCGAACGGCAGCACAGUAAGAGCUUGCUCUUACGGGUGGCGAGUGGCGGACGGGUGAGGAAUACAUCGGAAUCUACUUUUUCGUGGGGGAUAACGUAGGGAAACUUACGCUAAUACCGCAUACGACCUACGGGUGAAAGCAGGGGAUCUUCGGACCUUGCGCGAUUGAAUGAGCCGAUUUCGGAUUAGCUAGUUGGCGGGGUAAAGGCCCACCAAGGCGACGAUCCGUAGCUGGUCUGAGAGGAUGAUCAGCCAAACUGGAACUGAGACACGGUCCAGACUCCUACGGGAGGCAGCAGUGGGGAAUAUUGGACAAUGGGCGCAAGCCUGAUCCAGCCAUACCGCGUGGGUGAAGAAGGCCUUCGGGUUGUAAAGCCCUUUUGUUGGGAAAGAAAAGCAGCAGGUUAAUACCCCGCUGUUCUGACGGUACCCAAAGAAUAAGCACCGGCUAACUUCGUG
rnacentral:rRNA from 1 species